CACGUAGGGGGCGAGCGUUGUCCGGAUUUAUUGGGCGUAAAGAGCUCGUAGGCGGUUUCGUUAGUCGGGUGUGAAAACCCCAGGCUCAACCUGGGGACGCCACCCGAUACUGCGAUGACUAGAGUCCGGUAGGGGAGUGUGGAAUUCCUGGUGUAGCGGUGAAAUGCGCAGAUAUCAGGAGGAACACCAACGGCGAAGGCAGCACUCUGGGCCGGAACUGACGCUGAGGCCCGAAAGCGCGGGGAGCGAACGGG
rnacentral:rRNA from 1 species